AAUAAUGCAAUCAAAGCCUCAGGUAAACCAGUUUUCCUGGCGACUAUAGCGAUUUGGAACCACCUGAUACCAUCUCGAACUCAGAAGUGAAACAUUUCCGCGCCAAUGAUAGUGUGAGGCUUCCUC
rnacentral:rRNA from 1 species